AAUGAACGCUGGCGGCAUGCCUAACACAUGCAAGUCGAACGAUGCUUUCGGGCAUAGUGGCGCACGGGUGCGUAACGCGUGGGAAUCUGCCCUUGGGUUCGGAAUAACAGCGAGAAAUUGCUGCUAAUACCGGAUGAUGGCUUCGGCCCAAAGAUUUAUUGCCCAGGGAUGAGCCCGCGUAAGAUUAGGUAGUUGGUGUGGUAAAGGCGCACCAAGCCGACGAUCUUUAGCUGGUCUGAGAGGAUGAUCAGCCACACUGGGACUGAGACACGGCCCAGACUCCUACGGGAGGCAGCAGUGGGGAAUAUUGGACAAUGGGCGCAAGCCUGAUCCAGCAAUGCCGCGUGAGUGAUGAAGGCCUUAGGGUUGUAAAGCUCUUUUACCCGGGAUGAUAAUGACAGUACCGGGAGAAUAAGCUCCGGCUAACUCCGUGCCAGCCGCCGCCGUAA
rnacentral:rRNA from 1 species